rnacentral:rRNA from 1 species
GACGAACGCUGGCGGCGUGCUUAACACAUGCAAGUCGAACGAAGAGCGAUGGAAGCUUGCUUCUAUCAAUCUUAUGGCGAACGGGUGAGUAACGCGUAAUCAACCUGCCCUUCAAGGGGGACAACAGUUGGAAACGACUGCUAAUACCGCAUACGAUCUAACCUCGGCAUCGAGGAUAGAUGAAAGGUGGCCUCUACAUGUAAGCUAUCACUGAAGGAGGGGAUUGCGUCUGAUUAGCUAUUUGGAGGGGUAACGGCCCACCAAGGCGAUGAUCAGUAGCCGGUCUGAGAGGAUGAACGGCCACAUUGGGACUGAGACACGGCCCAGACUCCUACGGGAGGCAGCAGUGGGGAAUCUUCCGCAAUGGACGAAAGUCUGACGGAGCAACGCCGCGUGAGUGAUGACGGCCUUCGGGUUGUAAAGCUCUGUUAAUCGGGACGAAAGGCCUUUC